rnacentral:misc_RNA from 1 species
GCAAACUUGGUCAUUUAGAGGAAGUAAAAGUCGUAACAAGGUUUCCGUAGGUGAACCUGCGGAAGGAUCAUUAAUGAAUAAACUUGGUCGAGCUGUUGCUGGUCUUUCGGGACAUGUGCACGCUUGCCACCAAUUUUAACCACCUGUGCACCUUUUGUAGACUGGAAACGUUUCUCGAGGCAACUCGGAUUGAGAACUGCUGCGCGCAAGCGGGCUGUUCUUGUGUUUCUCAGUCUAUGUUUUCAUAUACUCCUAAUGUAUGUAUCUGAAUGUAUUGCUAGGCCUUUAGUGCCUUUAAAACAAAUACAACUUUCAACAACGGAUCUCUUGGCUCUCGCAUCGAUGAAGAACGCAGC